GAUGAACGCUGGCGGCGUGCCUAAUACAUGCAAGUCGAACGAUCGACUUCGGUCGAUAGUGGCGAACGGGUGAGUAACGCGUUGGUGACCUGCCCCGAAGAGAGGGAUAACAGGCCGAAAGGCCUGCUAAUACCGCAUAAGCUAGUCGUGGUUUAGGAGAUGACUAGGAAAAGGAGCAAUCCGCUUUGGGAGGGCCUGCGUCCCAUCAGCUAGUUGGUAGGGUAAUGGCCUACCAAGGCUACGACGGGUAGGGGCCUGAGAGGGUGGCCCCCCACACUGGCGACUGAAACACGGGCCAGACACCUACGGAGGCAG
rnacentral:rRNA from 1 species